GACGAACGCUGGCGGCGUGCUUAACACAGGCAAGUCGAACGGAAAGGCCCUGCUUUUGUGGGGUGCUUGAGUGGCGAACGGGUGAGUAACACGUGAGUAACAUGCUCUUGACUUUGGGAUAACUUCAGGAAACUGGGGCUAAUACCGGAUAGGAGCUCCUGCUGCAUGGUGGGGGUUGGAAAGUUUCGGCGGUUGGGGAUGGACUCGCGGCUUAUCAGCUUGUUGGUGGGGUAGUGGCUUACCAAGGCUUUGACGGGUAGCCGGCCUGAGAGGGUGACCGGCCACAUUGGGACUGAGAUACGGCCCAGACUCCUACGGGAGGCAGCAGUGGGGAAUAUUGCACAAUGGGCGGAAGCCUGAUGCAGCAACGCCGCGUGCGGGAUGACGGCCUUCGUGUUGUAAACCGCUUUCGCCUGUGACGAAGCGUGAGUGACGGUAAUGGGUAAAGAAGCACCGGCUAACUACGUG
rnacentral:rRNA from 1 species